CGAGUUCACACUCGUGGCGAAUAGCUCAGUAACACGUGGCCAAACUACCCUUCGGAACACGAUACCCUCGGGAAACUGAGGCUAAUAGUGUAUCCCAUACCACCACUGGAAUGAGUGGUAUGUCAAACGCUCCGGCGCCGAAGGAUGUGGCUGCGGCCGAUUAGGUAGACGGUGGGGUAACGGCCCACCGUGCCAAUAAUCGGUACGGGUCAUGAGAGUGAGAACCCGGAGACGGAAUCUGAGACAAGAUUCCGGGCCCUACGGGGCGCAGCAGGCGCGAAACCUUUACACUGCACGACAGUGCGAUAGGGGGAUCCCAAGUGCACAGGCAUAGCGCCUGUGCUUUUCGGCACCCUAAGGCGGUGCCAGAAUAAGGGCUGGGCAAGACCGGUGCCAGCCGCCGCGGUAAUACCGGCAGCCCAAGUGAUGGCCGAUCUUAUUGGGCCUAAAGCGUCCGUAGCUGGCCGCGCAAGUCCAUCGGGAAAUCCACCUGCUCAACAGGUGGGCGCCCGGUAGAAACUGCGUGGCUUGGGACCGGAAGGCGCGACGGGUACGUCCGGGGUAGGAGUGAAAUCCCGUAAUCCUGGACGGACCGCCGAUGGCGAAAGCACGUCGCGAGAACGGAUCCGACAGUGAGGGACGAAAGCCAGGGUCUCGAACCGGAUUAGAUACCCGGGUAGUCCUGGCCGUAAACAAUGUCUGCUAGGUGUGGCUCCCACUACGAGUGGGUGCUGUGCCGUAGGGAAGCCGCUAAGCAGACCGCCUGGGAAGUACGUCCGCAGGGAUGAAACUUAAAGGAAUUGGCGGGGGAGCACUACAACCGGAGGAGCCUGCGGUUUAAUUGGACUCAACGCCGGACAUCUCACCAGCAUCGACUGUGGUAAUGACGAUCAGGUUGAUGACCUUAUCCGAGCCUCAGAGAGGAGGUGCAUGGCCGCCGUCAGCUCGUACCGUGAGGCGUCCUGUUAAGUCAGGCAACGAGCGAGACCCGCACUCUUACUUGCCAGCAGUACCGCGAGGUAGCUGGGGACAGUAGGAGGACCGCCGUGGCUAACACGGAGGAAGGAACGGGCAACGGUAGGUCAGUAUGCCCCGAAUGUGCUGGGCAACACGCGGGCUACAAUGGUCGAGACAAAGGGUUCCUACUCCGAAAGGAGACGGUAAUCUCAGAAACUCGAUCGUAGUUCGGAUUGUGGGCUGCAACUCGCCCACAUGAAGCUGGAUUCGGUAGUAAUCGC
rnacentral:rRNA from 1 species